CUGCAGGAUGCCCUGUCCUUGUGCCGGCCGGCCCACCGGGCCCCUCCUGCUGUCCAAGACGGUGGAGACAUGAAACGCCACAGGCAUCCCUGCCACCUGCCGCAGGUCCGCGUCUCCAUACAUGAUGCCCUGUCCUGGGGUGUGCGGCUGCCCCUGCAGAAGUCACACCCCGCGUGACCCGGCUUGUCCUUUCCCUGCUAGGCAGCCAAAGCUGUGUCGAAGGCCUGUGGCACAGCUCAGCACCCUCAGAUCCGGUGGCUCUGUGUCCUGCUGGCACCUGCUGUGGAGAGCAGGGUUUGCUGAGGGGGGAGGUGGCUGCCUACGUAAAGUGUCCAGCAUGAGCUUGGGAAUGUCCACCCGACUGUCCUCUUGGGGGCCAGAGGGUCAGUACAUUGCUGCUGCAGCCUGACCACAGCCUCAACCUCCCCCAGGUCCAGGCGUCCCAGGUCCCGGGAGCCGAGUGGGGCCAAGGUCCCCAGCUGUGCACGGAACACGAAUUUCUGUUGGCCUGAGGAGCUCCUGCAGGAAACCGUGGGACAAGCCUGGUUCAGCGUGAAUUCUGGGUGCGUUUCUGCAUGCUGAGUCGUGCCUCACACACACCAAAGCACCAUGCCUCAAAAUUUCUGAAUCUGGAAGACUCAACACAGCAAGGGAGUGGGAUGAGUGGGCCGGGUGUCAUUCUCGGGGGCAGAGGCAGGAGUCUUUGGAGGCCAGGGAGGGGAAAGCCGGUUGUGACUCUGUCCCCCCAGGCCUCCUGCCAGCCCCCAGCCCUCCUGGGAUGCCACCUGCAGCCCUGCAGACAAGUGCCUUGAAAAUCCCAAACCAGAGGCAGCCAAGUGUGAAACCAGCCCCCGGAGAUGGAAAAGAGGACAGGCCCCGCUCCCGUUUUAUCCAAUGCCAAAGGGGAGAUCGCUUGACGUUUGAGGAAACAGCGUGUGCGACUUCCACGCCGCUCCUGGGAAGGCACUCACGCGUUCGUCCAUGACGAGGCUCUGUUAGGGAGGGGGAGGCUGGAGGGGCCCAGAGAACAGCAGGGUCCCCCAGCCAAGGUCCUGGCGGGGCUGAGUGGGGCCGGGGCGAGGUGGGCCGGGCGGGGAGCAGGCGGGCAGAGUGAGCCAGCUGGGCUGUGGUGCUAAUCCCAGAUAAUUACCCUUUGGACACUCGGAGCCAUCUCCCUUUUCUUUGCACUUAGCACGGUCUGAAUGACCCUGAGAGCACCUUGGUCUUCCGAGGUCCCGCACACAUCCGGGCCCUGGGAAAGCCGGGCCUCAGUGGUCGGUCAGGAAACCUGAUCAGGCCCUAAUCGUCUGGUGGGGAUUAGCCGGCCCGGCGGCCCCUUCUCCAGGUGAGGGCUCCCACAACCCUGCCAGGGCCACCCUUCUGGGGGCAGGGCUGCCUUUGAGCCCGGAUUAGUUGAGGUAAAGGGAUUCAUCUUGGGGCCUUCAAAGCCUUCAGGUCUCCCCGUGCCUCCUCCAGCACAGAGCGAAGGCCCUGGAUACCCCCCAUGUCUCAUGUCUGGGUGGACAGACCCUGGAAGGGGUGUGGGAGGAGUCAGUACGAUGGAGGAUACAAAGUCUGGCCUGAGCUGCUGCCACUGAACCCGGGAUCACGUUGUUCAUCGAACCCUAGAUAAGGGGCGGCUCCCCUCCCUCGCCCCACGCGUGGUGCAGAGCAGGGCCUGGCGGUGUCUCCUUCUGACUCUCCAGGGGCUUCCACAGCCCUUCUUCCCACCUAGCGCCUCCCUCGCCCUUCCUGUUCCAGCCACAGGUGCUGUCCUCUGCCUGCCUCCCUGGCCGAAGCCUUUUCCCCAGGUGGGAGCUUCCUCCCUCCAUCCCCACAGCUGCCGGUGCUGCAGGUAGCAGCUCCAGGGUCCCCUCCCAACAGGGGACUCCCCCACCCCCACUGCUGUCCCCACCACUCACCACUCCUGUAUCCUAUUUUACUUUUGUAAAAUGACUGCUGCCUUCUCCUGAGAUCCUAGUAACCUGGUUGGUAUUGUUUUUGUCACUUGCCUAUCUACCUACCAUGUAUUCAUCUUCCCCACCUAGGCUGUGAGUGCCAGAAGGGCAGGGGCAUUUCUGGUCUCAUCCUCUCUAUGCUUCCAGCACAGAAGCAUAUGAUGAAUAUUUGUUUCAUGAAUGGGUGGGUGGAUGGAUGGGUGAAUGGAUAGAUGGAUGGGUGGAUAGGUG
rnacentral:lncRNA from 1 species